UACGGAGGGUGCAAGCGUUGCUCGGAAUCAUUGGGCGUAAAGCGCGUGUAGGCGGCUAUCUAAGUCUGAUGUGAAAUCCUGGGGCUUAACCCCAGAACUGCAUUGGAUACUGGGUAGCUAGAGGACGAGAGAGGAUGGUGGAAUUCCUGGUGUAGGGGUGAAAUCCGUAGAUAUCAGGAGGAACAUCAGUGGCGAAGGCGGCCAUCUGGCUCGUACCUGACGCUGAGACGCGAAAGCGUGGGUAGCAAACAGG
rnacentral:rRNA from 1 species